UACGUAGGGGGCUAGCGUUGUCCGGAAUCAUUGGGCGUAAAGAGCGCGUAGGCGGCCCGGUAAGUCCGCUGUAAAAGUCAAAGGCUCAACCUUUGAAGGUCAGUGGAUACUGCCGGGCUAGAGUCCGGAAGAGGCGAGUGGAACUCCUGGUGUAGCGGUGAAAUGCGCAGAUAUCAGGAGGAACACCGGUGGCGAAGGCGGGUCUCUGGGCCGAUACUGACGCUGAGGAGCGAAAGCGUGGGGAGCGAACAGG
rnacentral:rRNA from 1 species